rfam:Schistosoma mansoni, Puerto Rico, WGS project CABG01000000 data, contig: 0041
AUCCGGCUAACGAGUCCCAAAUAAAACGAAACGCGCGUCCUGGAU